UACGUAGGUGGCAAGCGUUGUCCGGAAUUAUUGGGCGUAAAGCGCGCGCAGGUGGUUUGUCGCGUCUGCCGUGAAAGUCCGGGGCUCAACUCCGGAUCUGCGGUGGGUACGGGCAGACUAGAGUGAUGUAGGGGAGACUGGAAUUCCUGGUGUAGCGGUGAAAUGCGCAGAUAUCAGGAGGAACACCGAUGGCGAAGGCAGGUCACUGGGCCGCAACUGACGCUGAGGAGCGAAAGCAUGGGGAGCGAACAGG
rnacentral:rRNA from 1 species